rnacentral:rRNA from 1 species
UACGUAGGGGCUAGCGUUAUCCGGAAUUACUGGGCGUAAAGGGUGCGUAGGUGGUUUCUUAAGUCAGAGGUGAAAGGCUACGGCUCAACCGUAGUAAGCCUUUGAAACUGGGAAACUUGAGUACAGGAGAGGAGAGUGGAAUUCCUAGUGUAGCGGUGAAAUGCGUAGAUAUUAGGAGGAACACCAGUUGCGAAGGCGGCUCUCUGGACUGUAACUGACACUGAGGCACGAAAGCGUGGGGAGCAAACAGGAUUAGAUACCCUGGUAGUCCCUGAGCGGG